UUGGGCGUCGGGGGCCGGGAGCGGGGGUUGUCUCCUAGGCUAGGGAACCACCGAGAUGCCGGGCCUCCGAAGUCCUAGAGAGGGCUCUUCGGCCGCGGACGCCGUCUGCACUUCCGGCCUUUGUGAGCAGUGGCUACAGCGGCCUGCGGCUGUCAGUGCUGUUUGUUCCUACACGCGGCUGGGUGAGGGAUUUCUAGGGACUCCCAGCGAGAAGCAUCUGUCCCCUAGGCACGCAGCGCCAGUCUCUCUCCGGUCCCCCUUUUUUCCCCGAGCCAGCUGGGAAGACUAAAAGGGCAGGGGCUAGGGGCGGUCCAUAGUUCGACCCCUCUUUUCUGGCACCCUUGGAACCUGCAGGCUGCCGAUUUCCGGCCGACCCGGCUCCCAUCAAAAUCCGUGCUGCUGUCCGUGGCAGCUCCUUUUGAAAAUAGCCUGGUAGAAAGUCCGGGUUGUUGAACUGGAAAACGCAUUCUGCAUCCCUUGACUUGCAGUAGACGUCACAUGAAGAUCAAAACAAGAGUUUUGCCUUUCCCAGGAUGGGACACUCCAGCAUAAGGGUACCGGUACUGACGUGUGUUCUCCGUUUACUCUGAGAUAGCUUAUGAGAGAGAUGCAGUGAAAAGCUUGUGGGCAGGGCUCAGGGAAGAGUUCCACAAAGUGGCGUGUAUUCAAAGGAGGGUAGGAAUUGGAUACGUGGACGACAUGCUCCACCAUCCAAGAAGAACAUUCCAGAUGGAGUUCAGACAAAAGCACAAAGUUCGAAAAGUGAGAAGUGCAGAGAAAGUGGCUGUAGUUCAGUGGCAUGGUAUCAGCUCACUGCAACCUCCACCUCCCUGCUUCAAGCAAUUCUCCGGCCUCAGCCUCCCGAGUAGCUGGGAUUACAGACGUGCACCACCACACCCAGCCUCCAAGAUAUACCAUGGAAAUGUAGACAUUUAUGGAUUGCCUUGGAAUGGAAAAGGUAGUAACAGCAACUCCAGGAGUUCCUGCCAAGUUCUACCCCGAGUGGAACAAGUUGCUGAUUGUUCCCUUCCCUGGAUUUUAACCAAGAUUGUGACAAGAAGGAAAUUGCAUGUGGAUAUAACGCUAUAGGAUAAGCAGAGCCUGCUCGAUCCCUUUCCAAGCCUUCUGUGACCUCCCAACUGGAAGCAAUAGCAACGGUGCCCCAUCUGGAGUAGCCACUGCCAUGAUGCUGGCUGCAGUGAGGGAGGCACAGCUGGGACUGCAGCACUCCAUGGAGCUGGAGGGAGCUGCAAACACAUGGAAGCCCCCCUCCUUCCAAGUUGGAGGGGCAGGAGCCCCUGGGAGGAGAGCUCCCAGGAGCAGCUGCAGCCACCCAGCCACAGCCACAAACCCAGGCAUCUCUGCACUCUCAGGAGCCUGGGAAGCCUCUCUGCCCCCACAGGUUUGGAAGUGCCUGUUCCCACUGACUGGCCUCUCCCUGCUCCUGGCACCCACUUUGAUUUCAGAGCAAACUUGUGUCUAAGCCCUGGAGCUGUCACAACCUGGCCGAGUAUAAGCACACUUAGGCAAACCUGAUACACCUGCCCCUUGCCACCCCAGCGCCCUCCAGACUUUGGGCACCCAUGACCACAGGAGGGAUGCCAAGGCAGAGCUAAGGGCAGCUGGGCAUGAGCCUGCAGGCACCCCUCAGUAUGAACAGCCUGACUGCUCUGGACACCAUGAAUGGUAGGACAGUGGUGGCAGGAAGCAGUCCACUAAAUGGAAAGGGGUGAGUCCCCAUUGAAGCCCCACCGUUAGGCCAGGGACAGCCCUGAGGCCUGGAAGUCAGACUGCAAGUUCUGUGGACUGGAGUGAGAACUUACUGUGCUUUUUCAAGGUCUGCCCAUGGACCAAUGAGCAGGCACUUCCUUCCCUCUGAAGCCCAUAAAAACCCCAGACUCAGCCAGAUUCCAGCAGAUAACAGGAUGACUUGCCUGUGGAGAGGAGCUACCCACUGUUGGUCACCUCUGAGCUUCUAAGUUGUUCUGCUGAUUAAAGCACUUCUUCACCUUGCCUACCCUCCACUUGUCCAUGUACCUCAUUCUUCCUGGAUGCAGGACAAGUACUAGGGACCUGCUGAAUGGCAGGGCUGAAAGCUGUAACACAAACUGGGCUGAAACACACCUCUUGCUGGCCACGUUGUGGGUGACAAGAAGGAGAAGAGAGAGAAGGAGAGAAGAGCUUUGGUUCUUCAAGGAUCCCAGACCUAGGAGCUCGCCAAGCCAGGGCUGUGACAUGCUCUUUGGGGCUCCGUGGUUACUGGUGUCUCCAAGCUUCUGGGCACCACUGCAUUCCCUGGUGCCAGCCAUGGAAGCUGCUUGCAGUAUGCCUGGUCCAGCCACAGCCUUGCAGGGAGCAGGCACAUGGAGCUGCCUGCCCUGCCACAGGCAGCAUGCCUGGCUGUGCUCAGUGACCUGACCCCACACUCACACACCCCUCACCCCUCUAUGCCUGGCUCACUGUUGGCAAGUAUGGGAUCAAGACUGGUAGCAUGAGCCAAGAGCAGCCUGCCAAGCCAAGUGGGCAGAAUGAGCCCAGAGGGCCCAAGCAAAACUCCAGCAAAGGCACCACUGGCCACAGAGGUUUCUGGCCAGAAAAAUCCCAAGGAUCCUGUGACAGAAGCUAGGGGGAAAAAACAUGGAUUUUGCAUAUGAAGGGCAACCAAGAGGCCAAGAAAGGAAUUUGUGUAUGAUGCUCCAACAUUUCCCAUGCUAAUUAAGAUGAUGGUAGGAUUUCAUGAUAUACCAGUUCCAAGGAAAGUCAUCACCCAAUGCUGGAUGAACUCAUGGCUGCCUUCGCAAUGUAGUAGGGAGGUGAUUCUCCAGUGAAACUUUGUGGUCUUUCGGGGCCAGGAUGGGAAGAAACCUUUAACAACAGUUCACAGCUCACUUUUCCACGCAAGGAAGCAUACCUCAAGGUCCUUCAUGCAUGGUUUCUGCAACACAGCAUGACACGCCAGAGGAACCCUUCCCUUCAGCAUUGACCCCACUAGCUUUCACAGCAUGAAAGUCAAACUUAGGAGCCCAUAAUUUCUAGGGUGCCCUUCAGGAACUUUUAUUUGCUCAGGGCAGCUAAUUUUUAAUUUGUGGUGUUUUUAAGCACCGUAUCUCUUUGUAAUCAUAAAUGAUUACAUUUCAUGAUUCUUUCAGCACUUUCAUCUUUGAGUUCCUUCAAAACUCUUGUGUGGAUACCACCUAAUCUCAUCAGCUGAGCUUGUUUGCUGACAGGUCUAGAACCUUGGGGUUACCAAUGUUAUUGCCUAUAGCCCCUCUGACUGUGGGACCAGUAACCUCAUUUCUUGGAAUCUACCCUUAGAAAGUAAUCAAAGAUGUUGAGUAUGGACACAGUGGCUCCCACCUGUAAUCCCAGCACUUUGAGAGGCCAAGGUGGGCAGAUCACUUGAGGCAAGGAAUUCAAGACCAGCCUGGCCAACACAGUAAAACCCCAUCUCUACUAAAAAUACAAAAAUUAGCCAGGCAUGGUGGUGGGCACCUGUGAUCACUGCUACUUGGGAGGCUGAGGCAUGAGAAUCUCUUGAGCCCAGGAGGUGGAGGUUGCAGUGAGUUGAGAUCAUGCCAUUGCACUCCAACAUGGCAACUGAAGGAAACUCUGUCUCAAAAAAAAAAAGACAGGUGCAGUGUCUCAUGCCUGUAAUCCUAGCACUUCAGAAGGCCAAGGCUGGCAGAUCACUUGACACCAAUAGUUCAAGACCAGCCUGGCCAAUGGGGUGAAACCUUGUCUCUAUUAAAAAUACGAAAAUUAGCCAGGUAUGGUGGUGGGCACCUGUAAUCCCAGCUAUUCGAGAGACUGAGGCAGGAGAAUCGCUUGAACCUGGGAGGUGGAUGUUGCAGUGAGCCAAAUUAUGUCAUCUCACUCCAGCCUGGGCAACAGAGAAACACUCUGUCUUUAAAAAAUAAAAUAAAAUAAAAAAACAUAUUCUUUCUAAA